rnacentral:tRNA from 1 species
GGGGAUAUGGCUCAGUGGCAGGGAACAUGCUUAGCAUACAGGAGAGCCUGGGUUCAAUUCCCAGUAACUCCA